UGUAGGGCAAUGGACAGCACGUUGGACUUCUAAUCCAAAGUUCACGGGUUCAAAUACUGCCUAA